rnacentral:lncRNA from 10 species
ACUUCCGGUUUCCUUUCCCUCAGCUAUUCCAUGGCUUUUCGUGUGGACAAAUCGGGAGGUGGUGUAAACUGGUUUUUGGUGAAAUUCGGCUCGGCCUCAUGCGAACCUAUCUAGGUCCGUCUCUGGAGUGGCCUGUCAUCGAUCGCGCCCUCCAUCGCUGAGCGACACAAGUGGAACCCCCCAGGACUGCAUUCUGCAUGAAGAAACAGCUCAGAUUUGACCAAGAUCACACAAGUAGGAGUUGAGGAAUUGGAACCCACUAUGACUGACUCCAAAUUAAUAUAGUGUUUAUAGCCACUUACAUAAUAAUGGUAAAGGUUUUAUUUUUUUCACUAUACAAUAUGUAGUAGAUAAAUUUACUGAGGAAAUGAGACAGCACGUGACAAAUCCUUAAAGGAUACACACAUGACAGGAAGGAUUAGAAGAGGAAACAGAAACAGGUAACAGAGAAGCAGAAAAAGUAAAAUCUCCCAAAAUAAAAAUAGAAGGAAUUAAAAAUAAAAGCAGACUCCGGGUGCAGUGGCUCAUGCCCAGCACUUUGGGAGGCCGAGGCAGGUGAAUCACUUGAGGUCAGGAGUUUGAGACCAGCCUCGCCAACAUGAUGAAACCCUGUUUCUACUAGAAAUAAAAAAAUUAGCCAGGUGUAGUGGCGUGCACCUGUAAUUCUGGUUACUUGGGAAGCUAAGGCAGAAGAAUCACUUGAACCCGAGAGGCAGAGGUUGCAGUGAGCCAAGAUCAUGCCAUUGCACUCCAGCCUGGGUGACAGAGCAAGAUUAUAAAGUCUUCUCAAUAAAAUCGUCUCAAAAAUAAUAAAAAUAAAAGCAGAAGUUAAUGAAAUAGCAAAUAAAAUUGAUGAUAGUAAUUAGCUGGUGUUUGAAAAGAACAAUAAAUAGAAACUCAACAAAUCUGAGGAAGAAAAGGAAAAAAAAUGGUAUUGGAAACAAAGGAGCCCAUGGACGGAGGAUGGCUUGAGCCCAGGAGGUUGAGGUUGCAGUGAGCCAUGAUUGCACCACUGCACUCCAGCCUGGUCAACAGAGCUAGACACUGUCUCAGAAAAAAAAAAAGAAACAGGCCGGGCAUGGUGGCUCACGCCUGUAAUCCCAGCACUUUGGGAGACCAAGGCAGGCGGAUCAUGAGGUCAAGAGAUCGAGACCAUCCCAGCCAGCAUGGUGAAACCCCAUCUCUACUAAAAAUACAAAAAUUAGCUGGGCGUGGUGGCAGGCGCCUGUAGUCCCAGCUACGUGGGAGGCUGGGGCAGGAGAAUUGCUUGAACCCCCAGGAGGUGGAGGUUGCAGUAAGCCGAGAUCGCGCCA